GCUCAGGAUGAACGCUGGCGGCGUGCCUAACACAUGCAAGUCGAACGGAACUUCUUCGACAGAAUUCUUCGGAAGGAAGUUGAUUAAGUUUAGUGGCGGACGGGUGAGUAACGCGUGAGUAACCUGCCUUUGAGAGGGGAAUAACUUCCCGAAAGGGAUGCUAAUACCGCAUGAUGCAUAUUUAUCGCAUGGUAGAUGUGCCAAAGAUUUAUCGCUCAAAGAUGGACUCGCGUCCGAUUAGCCAGUUGGCGGGGUAACGGCCCACCAAAGCGACGAUCGGUAGCCGGACUGAGAGGUUGAACGGCCACAUUGGGACUGAGACACGGCCCAGACUCCUACGGGAGGCAGCAGUGGGGGAUAUUGCGCAAUGGGGGAAACCCUGACGCAGCAACGCCGCGUGAAGGAUGAAGGUUUUCGGAUUGUAAACUUCUUUUAUUUAGGACGAACAAUGACGGUACUAAAUGAAUAAGCUCCGGCUAACUACGUGCCAGCAGCCGCGGUAAUACGUAGGGAGCAAGCGUUAUCCGGAUUUACUGGGUGUAAAGGGUGCGUAGGCGGCUUGGUAAGUCAGAUGUGAAAUGUAUGGGCUCAACCCAUGCACUGCAUUUGAAACUAUUGAGCUUGAGUGAAGUAGAGGUAGGCGGAAUUCCCUGUGUAGCGGUGAAAUGCGUAGAGAUAGGGAGGAACACCAGUGGCGAAGGCGGCCUACUGGGCUUUAACUGACGCUGAGGCACGAAAGCGUGGGUAGCAAACAGGAUUAGAUACCCUGGUAGUCCACGCUGUAAACGAUGAUUACUAGGUGUGGGGGGUCUGACCCCUUCCGUGCCGGAGUUAACACAAUAAGUAAUCCACCUGGGGAGUACGACCGCAAGGUUGAAACUCAAAGGAAUUGACGG
rnacentral:rRNA from 1 species